rnacentral:rRNA from 1 species
AUUGAACGCUGGCGGCAGGCCUAACACAUGCAAGUCGAACGCGUGGCGCGCGUGUGAGUCAUGUCUGGGAAACUGCUCUAUGGAGGGGGAUAACUACUGGAAACGGUACCUAAUACCGCAUACCAUCGGAUGUGCCCAGAUGGGAUUAUGUAGGAGGUGGGUUAACGGCUCACCUAGGCGACGAUCCCUAGCUGGUCUGAGAGGGUGACCGGCCACACUGGAACGUAGACACGGUCCAGACUCCUACGGGAGGCAGCAGUGGGGAAUAUUGCACAAUGGGCGCAAGCCUGAUGCAGCCAUGCCGCGUGUAUGAAGAAGGCCUUCGGGUUGUAAAGUACUUUCAGCGAGGAGGCGUUACUCGCAGAAGAAGCAACGGCUAACUCCGUGCCAGCAGCCGCGGUAAUAC